GUUACAUCCAGCGAUACAAGUUUGAAAGAGAAGGCUUUCUCCUUUAGUAGAGAAAGAAAUGAUGGUUUCAAAUAUGUGCACGUACUGGCUGCAAUAUACAAGACACAAACACUUGUUUGCCUUAAUGUCAUAGCAUUUCUACACUACAAAGUCUUACUUGAUGGCAUUUCUUAAACAAGAAUAUUUGAAAGCUCUUGUGUAAUUGUAAUAAGAAAACUAAAUAAUAGGUGAAGUAUUACAUUUCUUUCAUCUUUUACAAAGAGCUCUGGAGUUAGAUACUUUACUGACAUGCCUGCAGGCCAGCACGUGAAUCUUGUAAUUAAAUUAAUGACAGGAAACAUCUUAUCCAUAUGUUUGGCCACACAGGAAGUGUAACAGUAAAUCCUUUCUCCACAGAAAAAGUUACUCAGUUUGGAAGUAAAGCAUUUUCAGGUUUGCAGGAUGGAAAUGAGGGGAGACUAGGUAUACAUGAGUAAAGAUUUUUACUGCAAUUAUGAUUAAUAUUGAAACAAAGUGAGAAAAAUCUGCCAUCCAUUCUGGCCCACAUAUGGCUCCAGCAUCACCCUUAUGAUUGACUGAUAAAGCCCCUCAAAUUCAGAUGCAGCUUACGGUGAACAAUAAGUGUCGGAACCAUCUACAUCUUGUGAGCUAUCACGGCAUAAUAAUAGUAGCCCUAUGUUCCUGAUGUUCUCUUCAUAUCAGCAUCACAUUUUACCGCUAUUCACAUAGCGAAAUGUUUGUAAAGAUUCCCACCAACCCAGCGUGUCAACUGCCCGGUAAAGGUGAAAAACAACGAGUGAAUCAAGCCACCAAUGAUAUCAACAUUUUUGAAAUAUGAACAAAAAGUAAGGAAUAACAUGCCAAAGAGAUUUCCCAAGACCCCAAAAACGGCUUCAGGAAUCCUGCCAGUCCAUGUUAAGGCAGAAACCCCCCCAAAUCUGAGGCUCUCAAUUAAAUAUUUCAAAAAAGCAAACUACCUCCUGAAUGUGUGCAUUAAUCCUCUGUUAAAAGUGAAAGCAAGUGGGUUCAGAAAGUUUGGAAAUAAGGUUCAAAUAUAAUAUUUUUACACAUUAAUGUCACAGACAAUCCUAUCUGGAACAUGUAUUUGGGGGUUAAUAUUUCCUUCAUAUUUUCCUAUUUCUGAUAUCAAAUCAAUUCAGAAUUUGCAAUGCAUCUUUAUAGAAAGUAUCUCCCAAUCAUCACUUAUCAUCACUAAAUCCUUUCCUUCAUGUGGAAGUGUUGUUUUCAUGGCCUUGUCAUGCAUCCCAAUGAAAGGUACAUAAAAUGGAACACAAUAUUUCUGCUGCAGCCUCUAACCAAAUACUUGCUUGUGACAUUUAU